rnacentral:precursor_RNA from 15 species
AUUCAACUACUUCGAUGGGGCACUCAGGCUAUAAGGUAGAGAAAUUGAUGCUGUCUACACUAUUCAGACUUCAGUUUCAUUACCUUUCAAUUUGUUUGCCCCCAUGCAACAGUGAUAGUA